CCUACGGGAGGCAGCAGUGGGGAAUAUUGGGCAAUGGGCGCAAGCCUGACCCAGCAACGCCGCGUGAAGGAAGAAGGCUUUCGGGUUGUAAACUUCUUUUAAGAGGGAAGAGCAGAAGACGGUACCUCUUGAAUAAGCCACGGCUAACUACGUGCCAGCAGCCGCGGUAAUACGUAGGUGGCAAGCGUUGUCCGGAUUUACUGGGUGUAAAGGGCGUGCAGCCGGGAAGACAAGUCAGAUGUGAAAUCCCGCGGCUCAACCGCGGAACUGCAUUUGAAACUGUUUUUCUUGAGUACCGGAGAGGUCAUCGGAAUUCCUUGUGUAGCGGUGAAAUGCGUAGAUAUAAGGAAGAACACCAGUGGCGAAGGCGGAUGACUGGACUGUAACUGACGUUGAGGCUCGAAAGCGUGGGGAGCAAACAGGAUUAGAUACCCCGGUAGUC
rnacentral:rRNA from 1 species